CGAGCGGAGUUGAUGGAGUGCUUGCACUCCUGAUGCUUAGCGGCGGACGGGUGAGUAAUACGUAGGUAACCUGCCCUUAAGACCGGGAUAACUCACGGAAACGUGGGCUAAUACCGGAUAGGCGAUUUCCUCGCAUGAGGGAAUCGGGAAAGGCGGAGCAAUCUGCCGCUUAUGGAUGGACCUACGGCGCAUUAGCUAGUUGGUGAGGUAACGGCUCACCAAGGCGACGAUGCGUAGCCGACCUGAGAGGGUGAUCGGCCACACUGGGACUGAGACACGGCCCAGACUCCUACGGGAGGCAGCAGUAGGGAAUCUUCCGCAAUGGACGCAAGUCUGACGGAGCAACGCCGCGUGAGUGAUGAAGGUUUUCGGAUCGUAAAGCUCUGUUGCCAGGGAAGAACGCUAUGGAGAGUAACUGUUCCAUAGGUGACGGUACCUGAGAAGAAAGCCCCGGCUAACUACGUGCCAGCAGCCGCGGUAAUACGUAGGGGGCAAGCGUUGUCCGGAAUUAUUGGGCGUAAAGCGCGCGCAGGCGGUCAUGUAAGUCUGGUGUUUAAACCCGGGGCUCAACUCCGGGUCGCAUCGGAAACUGUGUGACUUGAGUGCAGAAGAGGAAAGUGGAAUUCCACGUGUAGCGGUGAAAUGCGUAGAGAUGUGGAGGAACACCAGUGGCGAAGGCGACUUUCUGGGCUGUAACUGACGCUGAGGCGCGAAAGCGUGGGGGAGCAAACAGGAUUAGAUACCCUGGGUAGUCCACGCCCGUAAACCGAUGAAAUGCUAAGGUGUUAAGGGGUUUCCGAUACCCCUUGGGUGCCCGAAGUUUAACCCCAUUUAAGCCUUUCCCGCCUGGGGGGAGUACCGGUCCGCAAGGACUGGAAACUCCAAAGGGAAUUUGGCCGGGGG
rnacentral:rRNA from 1 species